rnacentral:rRNA from 1 species
UGAGGAAUAUUGGACAAUGGGCGCAAGCCUGAUCCAGCCAUGCCGCGUGCAGGAUGACGGUCCUAUGGAUUGUAAACUGCUUUUGCACAGGAAGAAACACUCCCUCGUGAGGGAGCUUGACGGUACUGUGAGAAUAAGGAUCGGCUAACUCCGUGCCAGCAGCCGCGGUAAUACGGAGGAUCCAAGCGUUAUCCGGAAUCAUUGGGUUUAAAGGGUCCGUAGGCGGUUUAGUAAGUCAGUGGUGAAAGCCCAUCGCUCAACGGUGGAACGGCCAUUGAUACUGCUAGACUUGAAUUAUUAGGAAGUAACUAGAAUAUGUAGUGUAGCGGUGAAAUGCUUAGAGAUUACAUGGAAUACCAAUUGCGAAGGCAGGUUACUACUAAUUGAUUGACGCUGAUGGACGAAAGCGUGGGUAGCGAACA